rnacentral:rRNA from 1 species
GUGCAGCCUGCCCAGUGACUCAGUUUACGGCCGCGGUAUCCUAACCGUGCGAAGGUAGCAUAAUCACUUGUUCUCUAAAUAAGGACUAGUAUCAACGGCAUCACGAGGGCUACACUGUCUCCUUUCUCCAAUCAGUGAAACUGAUCUCCCCGUGAAGAAGCGGGAAUAAGCAUAUAAGACGAGAAGACCCCAUGGAGCUUCAAGCACCGUAUUCAUCUACUUUCUUCCACAACAACCCAACUUUAUGAACCUGAAUACUAGCUUUUGGCUGGGGGGGCCGCGGAGUAUAACCUAACCUCCGCAACAAAUGGGCUACGCCCUUAUCUAUGAAUUACCACUCUAAGAAUUAACAAAUUAAUGUAAUUUGACCCGACUAAUCGAUCAACGAACCAAGUUACCCUGGGGAUAACAGCGCUAUCUACUUCAAGAGCUCAUAUCGACAAGUAGGUUUACGACCUCGAUGUUGGAUCAGGGUAUCCCAGUGGUGCAGCCGCUACUAAUGGUUCGUUUGUUCAACGAUUAAAACCCUACGUGAUCUGAGUUCAGACCGGAGA